rnacentral:lncRNA from 1 species
AGCAAUCAAACAAAGAGAUUGCAAUUAUACAAGACUUGCACGAGGGCAAGCAACAACAGAAGCGAAAGCUCUAAGCUAAAACAUACAACCAUACAUAAUAUUUGAUUACAUUUAAACCAAAUACUAGUAAACUAAAACCAUUACAUCCAUUUACUUUCAUUCAUAAUAUCUUUUUACAUCAUAUCAUUCCACCAAAAAUACAUGAUUUGUUUACAACUUUUACAACUAUAGAUCAACAAAAAAAAGUUGAUACAUGAACCAAAAAGGGAAUGACUAAAAUGCAUAACUCCGGUGGCCACUAGCUAUGGCGCGAUACCCUUGCCUCGAUCCUCCGCCACCCCGCUCGUGCUCGGAUCUGUAGGGUGUGAGAACUACAACGAAGUUCCCAGUGGAUUCGGCAACCGACCUCGCCGACUUACCCACUAGGUCUAUUCAGGCAUAAGUAUUUAAAAGGAAAGAAAAAUUGUAACCAAUGCUAAUGCUAAUACUAUGCAUGCAAGAAAGCUGUCAGAAGAUAUAUAAU